rnacentral:ncRNA from 1 species
CGUACAGUGUAGACGAAGAGUAGUAACUGAAACGGGUACUAAAAGAGAGCUGAUGGUUGGUGAAAAUCAGUGUAACUGUUGCUGCGAAUGGACUUCCGAGCUUCCAAACCGAACCCAAUUGGCAGUAGGCUUUGGCGAACUGGCCUUAUCGUUACAAAAGGCACGCAUUAAAGCAUAAAUCUUGCUUGAUGCUGCUAAGUGAGCUGUUAAUCAGCUAAUUAAGGUGGUACCACGGGUCCUCUCGUCCUUAUU